UGUAAAAAGUCAUUCUGCAGGCUUGUAGAUUUUAUGAAAUUGAAUAUGUAAACUUUAUUUAAUAAAAUUAAUUUCAUGUAGUUUGUUAUUUUUUUUGUGUUAAAAUUCUUUAAAAAUGACUGGAAUAAAAACAACUUAUUGUUUUUGUGAAGGAUUUAGCUAUUCUUAUUGUGUAUCUGCGCAUGUAGCGAAUACUGAAUAAAUCCAACGUAAUAUUAAUCAGCUGUUUUAAAUCAAAAACCAUUCCGGGUUGUAUUGCAGGUCGUGAGCGCUGAGCAGACGGAUUUAGGAAAUAUUUCUGUUAUUGUGCCAAAAUUCAAAGUUUUGAAAGCAUUUCAGUCGAGAAUGUAUGUUUUUAAAACAAGAAUCUGCAGUAGGUUCAUAAAGAUAUCGCCUAUUUAAACAUUUCCUUCGAGUUUUGUGGCGAUGGGAGCUCCAGAUAAUCAGCGGGAGCUCCGUGCGUAAAUAUACCGGACAACGUCGCCUCACCUCGGCCAGUGUCGCUGAAAAUCUCCGCUGGCUGUGACGUCAAUGUAGUGUUUAAACUGUGGAUAAAAUUCAUUUCGGGUAAAUUUAACGGGCAAUCUUUAGUCUUAUAAGUCUAUAAGCAGGGUUUCUUUGUAUAAUUUGUUUGUAAUUUGUAAAUAUUAAUUACAAUAAGGAUUAAUAUGAACUGGGUUUGGACGUAACUUCAGCUUUAGGACCCAGGAGGUCGCAUAUCUAGGAUGCAUUCGUCGAUUCGCAUGCUGCGAUUGGUGGUCCAGAUUCAACUCAUUUUGAGUGACAGAAAAACUGACCAAUCAUACUGUUCCUCUGAAUGGGUGGGUUCUCUUAUCACUAACUCUCAUAGAUAUGUAUCAUGUAUGUAUCUAUUAUGACAAAUUCUGCUCGCUCUCUCGCUUGGUUCGUAUUAUAAAAAUAAAUGUGACUUUACUGCGGUCUUUUUCGGUUUAUUUAGUUUUGUGUUAAUUAUAUCCACAAAGUAUUCGAAUAAAUUGGUAAUGUAAAACUAUUCUUCGCUGUAAAUUAAUUGUGUGCUCAAUUGCGACGCCCUGUGUUGAAUUUUCCCGCGAGUACAGUAUCAUUACUGAGGGGAAAUAUAACAUUAUUCAUUUAAUUCCACAAAAGGUGAGUAAGAUAUUAAAUGUAUAAGUUGUCUUUUUAAAAUGUUUAAGCUUUCUACAUAAUGUAAAUUGAACAUUCACUAUUAAUUUCGCGACCUAUUAUCUAAAUUGUGUGUUCAUGAAGGCCUGUAACGUACUGCAGCUUCCUGCAGGCAACGUGAAACAUUGCUGAGGCAGAACUUUAUUCACAACAAAAGGAUAAAGAUGAAGAGGCGGGACUUGAGCAGCUUGUGAUGGCUGUAAUUGUAAAGAAUGGAUCUUCUAGGAGUGGAAGCCCAAAAGAUGCUGGAAUUGUUAUUGAGGCCUUAAAGGUGUUCACAGGGCAUGCUUUAUCCUUGGAUCUAUGCAUUGAAUCUCCAGUAUCCCAGGCAUCUUUUCAGGUGUUUCAGAAACUUUUCUUGGAGCUGGAUUCUUCAAAGUUUAUAAACUGAUUACAGUACAGUAAGUCUAAACUGCUGUCUGAUGUUCUGGUUGUUAAUCAAUGUAACAGAACACAAACAUGGAACAUUUCGUCGGGAAAUGUGGACGGUUUUCUUUAAAGACUGUAAAAUACUUUUUGAAGUUUACACUGUUACAAAUACAUCAUUAAAAUGAGAUGCUUUCCUGUUCUUUUGACUGCAAUAAAAUAAGAAUUGAUUCA